CCCAGGCUGGAGUGGAGCAGUGCCAUCUCGGCUUACGGCAACCUCUCAGGUUCGAGCAAUUCACCUGCCUCAGCCUCCCGAGUAUCUGAGGCUAUAGGCAUGUGCCACCACACCUAGCUAAUUUUUUGUAUUUUUAGUAGAGACAGGGUUUCACCAAGUUGGCUGGUCUCGAACUCCUGACCUCAAUGAUCUGCCUGCCUCAGCCUCCCAAAGUACUGGUAUUACAGGCAUGUGCCACCAUGCCCGGCCAAUUUUCUGUUUUUCUUCUUUUCUUUUCUUUUUUUUGAAUCAGAGUCUCCCUCUGUCACCCAGGCUGGAGUGCAGUGUCACGAUCUCGGCUCAGUGCAACCUCCGCCCUCCGGAUUCAAGCGAUUAUCCUCUCUCAGCCUCCCAAGUAGCUGGGAGUACAGGUGCACGCCACUGCAUCCGGCUAAUUUUUGUAUUUUUAGUAGAGAUGGGGUUUCGCCAUGUUGGCCAGGCUAGUCUCAAACUCCUGACCUCAGGUGAUCCGCCUGCCUCGACUUCCCAAAGUGCUCAGAUUACAGGUGUGAAAAGUGCAUUCCUAGAUAGUAUUUUUCCUUGGGGAUUCAUGAAUGUAGGUCGUUCAGUGUUUUCUGACAAUGUCCUCUGGCAGCCAACCACCAUUCUACUUUGUG
rnacentral:lncRNA from 10 species